CGGCUCGCUCCUCCGCCUCCUCCCCCUUCGGCGGGCACCGCUAGUACCGCGCAACCAAACCGCCCCCUGCACCGCCGCCUCCUCCUCCUGGCCGCUCCGCCCACAGUCAGCAAGCAACUACAAAGGCUAACUUUCGAAUAUGGGGUGCCACAAUUUAUAAGAACCCUGAACCCUUGAGUCUCCACUUGAAGAAGAGCCUCCCUGACCUACAUACAAAGUGAUACCAUGAGCACUUUCAGGAGAAAUCAGAGAAUGUCUGAGGAAUACCAGUAAUCCAGUUGGAUGGAAAAAAAAAAAAAAAUCAUCAGAGGAACAGCAACAAUCAAAGCUGGAAAGGGAAACCAGUUGGCCCACUAUGAGGGGGUGAGUCAGCGACAGUCAAGAGGCCAUUUUAUCAAGCUCACACUGGGAAAAUCAGGUAAAUUACUGACUGGCACAGGGGCAUGCAACCCACGAAAUACUC